CCCUUAGAUGUCCUGGGCCGCACGCGCGCUACACUGAACGGAUCAGCGCGUUUUCCCUUCCCGAGAGGGACGGGUAACCUGCUGAACCCCGUUCGUGGUAGGGAUCGGGGCUUGCAAUUAUUCCCCGUGAACCAGGAAUGCCCAGUAAGUGCAAGUCAUAAGCUUGCGUUGAUUAUGUCCCUGCCCUUUGUACACACCGCCCGUCGCUACUACCGAUUGAACGUUUUAGUGAGGUACUCGGACUGAGCCUCAGAAGAUUCACGUCUUUUGUGCUGCUCGGGAAGAUUCCCAAACUUGAGCGUUUAGAGGAAGUAAAAGUCGUAACA
rnacentral:rRNA from 1 species